AAUGGCCGCGGUAAUAUGACCGUGCAAAGGUAGCAUAAUUAUUAGUCUUUUAAUUGAAGGCUUGUAUGAAUGAUUGGAUGAAAAAUAAACUUUAUUAAUAUAAAUUAUUUAAUUUAAUAUUUAAGUAAAAAUUCUUAAAUAAAUAAGUGGGACGAGAAGACCCUAUAGAGUUUAAUUUUUUAAUAUAUUAAAAAAUUAAAGAAGUAAUAUUUUUUUAAUACAUUAAAGAAUUUUGUUGGGGUGACAUAAAAAAUAAAUUAACUUUUUAUAAAUGUUUCAUUUAUCAAUGUUAUAUUGAUCCAAAAAAUUUUGAUUAAAAGAUAAAAUUACCUUAGGGAUAACAGCGUUAUUAAUUUGGAGAGCUCGAAUCAAUAAAUUAGUUUGCGACCUCGAUGUUGGAUUAAGAAAAAAAUUUAAAGCAGCAUUUAAAAUUUUAGGUCUGUUCGACCUUUAAAUUCUUACG
rnacentral:rRNA from 1 species